AUUUCUUUAGUACAAAGUAUAGCUGACUUCCAAUCAGAAGGACCGUAAAUUUACGGAAGAAAUA
rnacentral:tRNA from 1 species